rnacentral:rRNA from 1 species
AUUGAACGCUGGCGGCAGGCCUAACACAUGCAAGUCGAGCGGAUGAAGGGAGCUUGCUCCUGGAUUCAGCGGCGGACGGGUGAGUAAUGCCUAGGAAUCUGCCUUGUAGUGGGGGAUAACGUCCGGAAACGGGCGCUAAUACCGCAUACGUCCUGAGGGAGAAAGGGGGGGAUCUUCGGACCUCACGCUAUCAUAUGAGCCUAGUUCGGAUUAGCUAGUUGGUGGGGUAAAGGCCUACCAAGGCGACGAUCCGUAACUGGUCUGAGUGGAUGAUCAGUCACAAUGGAACUGAGACACGGUCCAGACUCCUACGGGAGGCAGCAGUGGGGAAUAUUGGACAAUGGGCGAAAGCCUGAUCCAGCCAUGCCGCGUGUGUGAAGAAGGUCUUCGGAUUGUAAAGCACUUUAAGUUGGGAGGAAGGGCAGUAAGUUAAUACCUUGCUGUUUUGACGUUACCAACAGAAUAAGCACCGGCUAACUUCGUG